AUGCAAGCAAUGGCGCCGUCGCCGUGGCUGCCGGAAUUCGACCCGACAGAUACGGUCGCCGGCCGUUCCUUUGUCGAGCACCUCACCACCGACGCCGCGGCGCUCCAGCGAGAGCUCCUCACAGAGAUCCUCAGGCGGAACGCCCACACAGAGUACCUCUGCUCCUUCCUCCUCCUCCCGGAUGGCGGCUUUCCAUCGGACGGCAACCUCCGGGAGGCCUUCAAGAAGCUUGUGCCUGUCUCCGGUUACGACGACCUCAAGCCGUACGUGGAUCGCAUCACCUCCGGCCGCGAGUUGUCCACCAAUCUCCUCUGCUCCGAAUCAAUCACCCACCUCAUCCGAAGUCGAUUUUCAGAAGAAGUAGCAUGCUCGCCGGAGGGACGGAAGGAGCAUGCUCGCCGGAGGGGCGGCGAGGCUGACGCGAGAGUGUCACCGGCCGCGGGCGGCUGUAGCACGCCGGUGGCAACAAGCCACAGGAGGAAGAAGAUGAAGGCGGCUGUGAUCUGUUUUUGA
rnacentral:rRNA from 1 species